UGAUUUUGUAUUUGUCAGUGUUUGAUGAAUCUGUGGGAUGCGUGCUUGGUCAACAAGAUGAGACUGGAAAGAAAGAACAUGCUAUCUACUAUCUGAGCAAGAAGUUCACCGACUGUGAAACUCGGUAUACAAUGCUUGAGAAGACUUGUUGUGGUCUAGCUUGGGCUGCCAAACGCCUGCGUCAUUAUUUGGUGAAUCAUACAACUUGGUUGAUAUCCAGAAUGGAUCCGAUCAAGUAUAUCUUUGAGAAAGCUGCUGUUACUGGGAAGAUUGCACGCUGGCAGAUGCUUUUGUCU
rnacentral:pre_miRNA from 1 species